rnacentral:rRNA from 1 species
UACGGGGGGGGCAAGCGUUGUUCGGAAUUACUGGGCGUAAAGGGCUCGUAGGCGGCCAACUAAGUCGGAUGUGAAAUCCCCAGGCUCAACCUGGGAACUGCAUCUGAUACUGGAUGGCUUGAAUUCGGGAGAGGGAUGCAGAAUUCCAGGUGUAGCGGUGAAAUGCGUAGAUAUUUGGAGGAAUACCGGUGGCGAAGGCGGCAUCCUGGACCGACAUUGACGCUGAGGAGCGAAAGCCAGGGGAGCAAACGGG